rnacentral:rRNA from 1 species
CCUACGGGUGGCAGCAGUGGGGAAUAUUGCACAAUGGGGGAAACCCUGAUGCAGCGACGCCGCGUGAGCGAUGAAGUAUUUCGGUAUGUAAAGCUCUAUCAGCAGGGAAGAAAAUGACGGUACCUGACUAAGCCGCCCCGGCUAACUACGUGCCAGCAGCCGCGGUCAUACGUGGGGGGCAAGCGUUAUCCGGCUUUACUGGGUGUAAAGGGAGCGUAGACGGCUUGGCAAGCCAGGUGGGAAAGGCUGGGGCGCAACCUCAGGACUGCAUUUGGAACUGUCAUGCUAGAGUGUGGGAGAGGCAGGUGGAAUGCGUAGUGUAGCGGUGAAAUGCGUAGAUAUUAGGAGGAACACCAGUGGCGAAGGCGGCCUGCUGGACGAUGACUGACGUUGAGGCUCGAAAGCGUGGGGAGCAAACAGGAUUAGAUACCCGAGUAGUC